rnacentral:rRNA from 1 species
AUUGAACGCUGGCGGCAGGCUUAACACAUGCAAGUCGAGCGGGGGAAGGUAGCUUGCUACCGGACCUAGCGGCGGACGGGUGAGUAAUGCUUAGGAAUCUGCCUAUUAGUGGGGGACAACAUCUCGAAAGGGAUGCUAAUACCGCAUACGUCCUACGGGAGAAAGCAGGGGAUCUUCGGACCUUGCGCUAAUAGAUGAGCCUAAGUCGGAUUAGCUAGUUGGUGGGGUAAAGGCCUACCAAGGCGACGAUCUGUAGCGGGUCUGAGAGGAUGAUCCGCCAAACUGGGACUGGGACACGGCCCAGACUCCUACGGGAGGCAGCAGUGGGGAAUAUUGGACAAUGGGGGGAACCCUGAUCCAGCCAUGCCGCGUGUGUGAAGAAGGCCUUAUGGUUGUAAAGCACUUUAAGCGAGGAGGAGGCUACUUUAGUUAAUACCUAGAGAUAGUGGACGUUACUCGCAGAAUAAGCACCGGCUAACUCUGUGCCAGCAGCCGCCGUAA